rnacentral:rRNA from 1 species
UACGUAGGGUGCGAGCGUUGUCCGGAAUUACUGGGCGUAAAGAGCUUGUAGGUGGUUUGUCGCGUUGUUCGUGAAAUCUCACGGCUUAACUGUGAGCGUGCGGGCGAUACGGGCAGACUAGAGUACUGCAGGGGAGACUGGAAUUCCUGGUGUAGCGGUGGAAUGCGCAGAUAUCAGGAGGAACACCGGUGGCGAAGGCGGGUCUCUGGGCCGGAACUGACGCUGAGGAGCGAAAGCGUGGGGAGCAAACAGG